CACGUUCAGAGCGCCCCACCUGUCCUGCAGCGGAAGAAUCGCUUGUCGGUCGGCGUCUGCAGACAUCUGAGGCCUGUCCUCCCUCUACCGGCCGUGCUCAGCGUCCUGUGUGGAACGUGGGGCCAGCGGGACGCUGGUGACCGUACAGAGGAGCGGGGUCGAGGCCUUCGCUGAGCCCGAGGACCCGAGUGUGGGAAGGUGAACCCGCGCCCGCGCCUCAGCUCAGAAAGACGGACGCGCCCUGAUCCCGCAUGAAGUCCAGAGACCGGCUCUGGGACUAGUUCCCGCCCUCCAGGUUCCUGGGGUAUCAAAUGUGACAUCCAUGUCCAGCUUCCUGUAGUAUUGAAACAACACAGCAAAAAUGAAAUCAGAGCCGGAGGUAAUAUUGUAUAAUUUAAGUUCCACAAAUCCAGCACAAGUCAAUGGAUCUGCUAUUGAAGAACCCAUACAACUGAAACAUGUGAAGAUGUAAUAACUA